GACGAACGCUGGCGGCGUGCUUAACACAUGCAAGUCGAACGGAAAGGCCCUGCUUUUGUGGGGUGCUCGAGUGGCGAACGGGUGAGUAACACGUGAGUAACCUGCCCUUGACUUUGGGAUAACUUCAGGAAACUGGGGCUAAUACCGGAUAGGAGCUCCUGCUGCAUGGUGGGGGUUGGAAAGUUUCGGCGGUUGGGGAUGGACUCGCGGCUUAUCAGCUUGUUGGUGGGGUAGUGGCUUACCAAGGCUUUGACGGGUAGCCGGCCUGAGAGGGUGACCGGCCACAUUGGGACUGAGAUACGGCCCAGACUCCUACGGGAGGCAGCAGUGGGGAAUAUUGCACAAUGGGCGGAAGCCUGAUGCAGCAACGCCGCGUGGGGGAUGACGGCCUUCGGGUUGUAAACCGCUUUCGCCUGUGACGAAGCGUGAGUGACGGUAAUGGGUAAAGAAGCACCGGCUAACUACGU
rnacentral:rRNA from 1 species